rnacentral:rRNA from 1 species
CCAAUAGCGUAUAUUAAAGUUGUUGCAGUUAAAAAGCUCGUAGUUGAAUUUCGGGGUCAGUAGGUCGGUCGUGCCACUGGUAUGAACUGGUCUCACUGAUUCCUCCUUCUUGAAGAACCGUAAUGUCAUUAACUUGGUGUUGCGGGGAAACAGGACUGUUACCUUGAAAAAAUUAGAGUGUUUAAAGCAGGCCAGUGCCUGAAUACAUUAGUAUGGAAUAAUGAAAUAGGACGUUCGAUCCUAUUUUGUUGGUUUCUAGGAUUGACGUAAUGAUUAAUAGGGAUAGUUGGGGGCAUUAGUAUUCAAUUGUCAGAGGUGAAAUUCUUGGAUUUAUUGAAGACUAACUACUGCGAAAGCAUUUGCCAAGGAUGUUUUCAUUAAUCAAGAACGAAAGUUAGGGGAUCGAAGACGAUCAGAUACCGUCGUAGUCUUAACCAUAAACUAUGCCGACUAGGGAUCGGAUGAUGUUAAUUUUAUAAUGACUCAUUCGGCGCCUUACG